rnacentral:misc_RNA from 1 species
AAGGUAAAAGCGCACGCACGC